rnacentral:rRNA from 1 species
GACGAACGCUGGCGGCGUGCUUAACACAUGCAAGUCGAACGGAAAGGCCCUGCUUUUGUGGGGUGCUCGAGUGGCGAACGGGUGAGUAACACGUGAGUAACCUGCCCUUGACCUUGGGAUAACUUCAGGAAACUGGGGCUAAUACCGGAUAGGAGCUCCUGCUGCAUGGUGGGGGUUGGAAAGUUUCGGCGGUUGGGGAUGGACUCGCGGCUUAUCAGCUUGUUGGUGGGGUAGUGGCUUACCAAGGCUUUGACGGGUAGCCGGCCUGAGAGGGUGACCGGCCACAUUGGGACUGAGAUACGGCCCAGACUCCUACGGGAGGUAGCAGUGGGGAAUAUUGCACAAUGGGCGGAAGCCUGAUGCAGCAACGCCGCGUGCGGGAUGACGGCCUUCGGGUUGUAAACCGCUUUCGCCUGUGACGAAGCGUGAGUGACGGUAAUGGGUAAAGAAGCACCGGCUAACUACGUG